UACGGGGGGGGCAAGCGUUGUUCGGAAUUACUGGGCGUAAAGGGCUCGUAGGUGGCCAACUAAGUCAGACGUGAAAUCCCUCGGCUUAACCGGGGAACGGCGUCUGAUACUGGAUGGCUUGAGUUCGGGAGAGGGAUGCGGAAUUCCAGGUGUAGCGGUGAAAUGCGUAGAUAUCUGGAGGAACACCGGUGGCGAAGGCGGCAUCCUGGACCAAUACUGACGCUGAGGAGCGAAAGCCAGGGGAGCAAAGCGGG
rnacentral:rRNA from 1 species